GGUCAACAAAUGCCUCCUUACAUUUACACCAGCAGAAGAAUAGCAUCCUAUCUGGUUACAGUUGCAGACCUGUACGCAGGCACCUGUCACUGUGUCCAGAGGACAACCUGUUCUCCCCAAACAGGUUCCAAACACAGAGACGGGGGGGAGAGAGAGGGCUUUGGUGAAUCAACCCAUUGUCUGUUAUGAACAGCUCUCAGCCCUGAAUUUAGUCCAAGGAGAAUAAAGGUCUUUGAGCCGGUCUCUAAUUUCAUAGCAUCAGCCCCAGAAAUAGGAAAGAAUUGAUAGAGGCGAGUUCGACAACAAACCUGCAGCUACGAUGUAUUUUCUUCUCUUCUCAGCAGCAGAGGUUUGUCACUGCCCACUUUAAACAACAACAACAACAACAGCAAGCACUGGGGCCAUGGAGAUCCUGCUCCAUCACCUGGCAUGCUGAGUACCAGGACCCCCUGCCAGCCAGUGCCCCCCACACAUAGGUAAACACACCAGCUUGGCUCGAACAGUAGCAAAAAGAAGUGAAUAACUCACAAAAAAAUUGUCACUAGCAGGCCGAGAACAAGUAGUAUGGUCACUGCUUCUCCACCCUCCCACUGCCUGCUGUCUGUGGUGGAGCCCAGCCAGCUCAGCCAAUCAGCUCCCAGCAUCAUGGAACCACUACUGUGUUCAAACACUAUGAUGCAGGCCAGAGCACACAUCCAGACCCGGCUGGGAACUCACAAUACUAUGAAUGAACAGCAGGUGAGUCUCAAAAAACCUCCUGACGCUUCGAUUCCUGUUUCUUUCCAUCAGUGUUUAUCUGACUAUCUAAUCAUUGAUUUUCACAGGGUCUCCUGCUGGCUCGGCACUCCCGAACACCGAAGCUCUUGGCACCCCUACGCUUCACACCCAGAGACAUUACAGCUCUGCCAGCACUAAAGCAAUGUGUUCCUCUGAAGCCCAUCAGCCGGAGCCCUCUUUGCUCCAGAGCUAAGCUGAGGAGAGAGAGGCUCUCCUGGGGCAGCCCGUGCAGUGGACCUCUCAGCAGUAAGGCUGGUAGUGAGGAAAGUGGGCCUAGCAGUAGCAGCAGCAGCAGCAGCAGCCGGAGCUCCCUUGAUCUGGAGGAUGAGGAUGAUGUACAUGAGAGAGCUUAUGAGGACAGAAAUCUGAAGCUGUUUGGAGGCAGGCUGUUGCGUCAAUCCAAAGAUGCGAGCUCAACCGAGGAUGAUCUGCAUGAAGAACAAUCAAGGACUCAUCAUGUUCCACUGAUCCACAAAUCAGCUCAUAACCUGAAGGGAGACUCUAUCAAACAUAGACAUGAUC
ensembl:lncRNA